UACGUAGGGACCAAGCGUUGUCCGGAAUCAUUGGGCGUAAAGCGCGUGUAGGCGGCCCGGUAAGUCCGCUGUGAAAGUCGGGGGCUCAACCCUCGAAAGCCGGUGGAUACUGUCGGGCUCGAGUACGGAAGAGGCGAGUGGAAUUCCUGGUGUAGCGGUGAAAUGCGCAGAUAUCAGGAGGAACACCAAUUGCGAAGGCAGCUCGCUGGGACGUUACUGACGCUGAGACGCGAAAGCGUGGGUAGCAAACAGG
rnacentral:rRNA from 1 species